rnacentral:rRNA from 1 species
UACGAAGGGGGCUAGCGUUGCUCGGAUUGACUGGGCGUAAAGGGCGCGUAGGCGGCUUGUACAGUCAGACGUGAAAUUCCUGGGCUCAACCUGGGGGCUGCGUUUGAUACGUAUGGGCUUGAGUUCGGAAGAGGGUCGUGGAAUUCCCAGUGUAGAGGUGAAAUUCGUAGAUAUUGGGAAGAACACCGGUGGCGAAGGCGGCGCUCUGGACCGAGACUGACGCUGAGGCGCGAAAGCGUGGGGAGCAAACAGG